rnacentral:rRNA from 1 species
GAUGAACGCUGGCGGCGUGCCUAAUACAUGCAAGUCGAGCGAACAGACGAGGAGCUUGCUCCUCUGACGUUAGCGGCGGACGGGGGAGUAACACGUGGAUAACCUACCUAUAAGACUGGGAUAACCUCGGGAAACCGGAGCUAAUACCGGAUAAUAUAUUGAACCGCAUGGUUCAAUAGUGAAAGACGGUUUUGCUGUCACUUAUAGAUGGAUCCGCGCCGCAUUAGCUAGUUGGUAAGGUAACGGCUUACCAAGGCAACGAUGCGUAGCCGACCUGAGAGGGUGAUCGGCCACACUGGAACUGAGACACAGUCCAGAGACCUCCGGGAGGCAGCAGUAGGGAAUCUUCCGCAAUGGGCGAAAGCUUGACGGAGCGACGCGGCGUGAGUGAUGAAGGUCUUCGGAUCGUAAAACUCUGUUAUUAGGGAAGAACAAAUGUGUAAGUAACUGUGCACGUCUUGACGGUACCUAAUCAGAAAGCCACGGCUAACUACGUG